rnacentral:rRNA from 1 species
AGGAUGAACGCUGGCGGCGUGCCUAACACAUGCAAGUCGAACGUCCUGUCUCGCAAGAGGCAGGGAGUGGCGGACGGGUGAGUACCACGUGGGUUAUCUACCGUGAGGUGAGGAAUACCGGCGAGAAAUCGCCGACAAGACCGCAUAGGCUCGAUGCAAGUCGAGCAAAGCUCUUUCGAGAGAGGGAGCGCCACACGAGGAGCCUGCGCCCGAUUAGCUAGCUGGUGGAGUAACGGUUCACCAGGGCGACGAUCGGUAGCUGGUCUGAGAGGACGAUCAGCCACACUGGGAUUGAGAACGGCCCAGACUCCUACGGGGGGCAGCAGUGAGGAAUUUUCGUCAAUGGGGGCAACCCUGAACGAGCAACGCCGCGUGCAGGAAGAAGGUUUUCGGAUCGUAAACUGCUUUUCGUCGGGGAAGAGAACGGACGGUACCCGAGGAACUCGAGCCCCGGCUAACUACGUGCCAGCAGCCGCGGUAA